rnacentral:rRNA from 1 species
GAUGAACGCUGGCGGCGUGCCUAAUACAUGCAAGUCGAGCGAGCGGCGGACGGGUGAGUAAUGUAUGGGAAACUGCCUGAUGGCGGGGGAUAACUACUGGAAACGGUAGCUAAUACCGCAUACCAUCAGAUGUGCGCAGAUGGGAUUAGCUAGUAGGUGGGGUAAUGGCUCACCUAGGCGACGAUCGCUAGCUGGUCUGAGAGGAUGACCAGCCACACUGGAACUGAGACACGGGCCAGACUCCUACGGGAGGCAGCAGUGGGGAAUAUUGCACAAUGGGCGCAAGCCUGAUGCAGCCAUGCUGCGUGUAUGAAGAAGGCCUUCGGGUUGUAAAGUAUUUUCAGCGGGGAGGCGUUACCCGCAGAAGAAGCACCGGCUAACUCCGUGCCAGCAGCCGCGGUAAUAC